ensembl:snRNA U6 U6 spliceosomal RNA
GUGCCCGCUUCAGCAGCACAUAUACUAAAAUUGGAAUGAUACAGAGAAGAUUAGUAUGGCUCCUGCGCAAGGAUGACACACAAAUUCGUGAAGCGUUCCAUAUUUUU